rnacentral:rRNA from 1 species
AGAACGAACGCUGGCGGCGUGGCUAAGGCAUGCAAGUCGAACGGACCUUGGUGCGGGGUAACCCAAUCCUUGGUUAGUGGCGAACGGGUGAGGAAUACAUGGAUAACGUACCCCAGACACAGGGAUAGCGGCGGGCUUCGGCCCUUUGCGAAAGUGCCGGUAAUACCUGAUGAUCCCAGAGGACCGCAUGGUUUUCUGGGCAAAGCUCCGACGGUCUGGGACCGGUUCAUGUCCUAUCAGCUUGUUGGUGGGGUAACGGCCUACCAAGGCAACGACGGGUACCGGGCGUGAGAGCGCGAUCCGGCACAUCGGAACUGAGAUACUGUCCGGACACCUACGGGUGGCUGCAGCAACGAAUAUUCCCCAAUGGACGAAAGUCUGAGGGAGCGACGCCGCGUGCAGGAUGAAGUCCCUCGGGAUGUAAACUGCUGUCAGGGGUGAGGAAGAUCUGACCAACCCCAAAGGAAGCACUGGCUAACUCCGUGCCAGCAGCCGCGGUAAUACGGAGAGUGCGAGCGUUGUUCGGAAUUACUGGGCUUAAAGCGCGUGCAGGCGGAAUGUCAGGUGUUCGGUGAAAUCCCCCGGCUCAACCGGGGAAUUGCCGGGCAAACCGACAUUCUUGAGGCAGGUAGAGGUGACUGGAACAACUGGUGGAGCGGUGAAAUGCGUAGAUAUCAGUUGGAACGCCGGAGGCGAAAGCGAGUCACUGGGCCUGUCCUGACGCUCAGACGCGAAAGCGUGGGUAGCGAACGGGAUUAGAUACCCCGGUAGUCCACGCCGUAAACGAUGCGCACUAGGUAUGGGAGGUCUGACGCCGACCGUGCCGAAGCAAAAGUGGUAAGUGCGCCGCCUGGGGAGUACGGCCGCAAGGCUA